GGGUACUGUCUCGGAGAGAGACUCGGUGAAAUAGACAUGUCCGUGAAGAUGCGGACUACUUACACCUGGACAGAAAGACCCUAUGAAGCUUUACUGUAGCUUGACAUUGGAUUUGGGCUUUUCUUGCGCAGUCUAGGUGGGAGGCUAUGAUAUCUUGCUUGCGGGCAAGGAGGAGCCGUUUUUGAGAGACCACUCUGGAAGAGCUAAAAUUCUAAUGGUGAUCCUUGAAUCAGGACACUUAACAGUGUCAGGUGGGCAGUUUGACUGGGGCGGUCGCCUCCUAAAAAGUAACGGAGGUGCGCAAAGGUUCCCUCAAGCUGGACGGAAAUCAGCUGGAGAGUGUAAAGGCAUAAGGGAGCUUGACUGUAAGACCCACAAGUCGAGCAGAGGCGAAAGCCGGUCUUAGUGAUCCGACGGUACCGCGUGGAAGGGCCGUCGCUCAACGGAUAAAAGUUACUCUAGGGAUAACAGGCUGAUCUUCCCCAAGAGUCCACAUCGACGGGAAGGUUUGGCACCUCGAUGUCGGCUUAUCAUAUCCUGGGGCGGUAGUACGUCCCAAGGGUUGGGCUGUUCGCCCAUUAAAAUGGUACGUGAGCUGGGUUCAGAACGUUGUGAAACAGUUUGGUCCAUAUCCGGUGUAAGCGUUAGAGCAUUGAAGGUAGCUCUGGUGUACCAGUUAUUCUGCCAAGAGUAAACGCUGGGUAGCCAUGUGCGGAGUGGAUAACUGCUGAAGGCAUCUAAGUAGGAAGCCCAACCUAAGAUGAAUGCUCUCUGCAUUUUUUGCAACAGGUCACAGCAAGACUAGCUGUUUGAUAGGUAUCAGGUGUAAGAUCAGUAAUGGUUUAAGCUGAGAUAUACUAAUAGGCCUGGUGAGUUUGAUCU
rnacentral:rRNA from 1 species